rnacentral:rRNA from 1 species
UGCAGUCGAACGAUGAUCAGGAGCUUGCUCCUGUGAUUAGUGGCGAACGGGUGAGUAACACGUGAGUAACCUGCCCCUGACUCUGGGAUAAGCGUUGGAAACGACGUCUAAUACUGGAUACGACUGCCGGCCGCAUGGUCUGGUGGUGGAAAGAUUUUUUGGUUGGGGAUGGACUCGCGGCCUAUCAGCUUGUUGGUGAGGUAAUGGCUCACCAAGGCGACGACGGGUAGCCGGCCUGAGAGGGUGACCGGCCACACUGGGACUGAGACACGGCCCAGACUCCUACGGGAGGCAGCAGUGGGGAAUAUUGCACAAUGGGCGAAAGCCUGAUGCAGCAACGCCGCGUGAGGGAUGACGGCCUUCGGGUUGUAAACCUCUUUUAGUAGGGAAGAAGCGAACCGUGACGGUACCUGCAGAAAAAGCACCGGCUAACUACGUCCCAGCAGCCGCGGCAAUACGUAUGCUGCAAGCGUUGUCCGGAAUUAUUGGGCGUAAAGAGCUCGUAGGCGGUUUGUCGCGUCUGCUGUGAAAUCCCGAGGCUCAACCUCGGGCUUGCAGUGGGUACGGGCAGACUACAGUGCGGUAGGGGAGAUUG